rnacentral:rRNA from 1 species
AACGAACGCUGGCGGCAUGCCUAACACAUGCAAGUCGAACGAAGCCUUCGGGCUUAGUGGCGCACGGGUGCGUAACGCGUCGGAAUCUGCCCCUUUCUUCGGAAUAACAGUUAGAAAUGACUGCUAAUACCGGAUGAAGUCUUCUGACCAAAGAUUUAUCGGCAAGGGAUGAGCCCGCGUAGGAUUAGGUAGUUGUGAGGGUAAAGGCCUACCAAGCCGACGAUCCUUAGCUGGUCUGAGAGGAUGAUCAGCCACACUGGGACUGAGACACGGCACAGACUCCUCCGGGAGGCAGGAGUGGGGAAUAGUGGACAAUGGACGCAAGUCUGAUCCAGCAAUGACGCGUGAGUGAUGAAGGCCUUAGGGUUGUAAAGCUCUUUUAACAGGGAUGAUAAUGACAGUACCUGGAGAAUAAGCCCCGGCUAACUCCGUG